AUUGAACGCUGGCGGCAUGCUUUACACAUGCAAGUCGAACGGUAACAGGCCGCAAGGUGCUGACGAGUGGCGAACGGGUGAGUAAUGCAUCGGAACGUGCCCAGUCGUGGGGGAUAACUACUCGAAAGAGUAGCUAAUACCGCAUACGAUCUAUGGAUGAAAGCGGGGGACCGUAAGGCCCCGCGCGAUUGGAGCGGCCGAUGUCAGAUUAGGUAGUUGGUGGGGUAAAGGCUCACCAAGCCAACGAUCUGUAGCUGGUCUGAGAGGACGACCAGCCACACUGGGACUGAGACACGGCCCAGACUCCUACGGGAGGCAGCAGUGGGGAAUUUUGGACAAUGGGCGCAAGCCUGAUCCAGCAAUGCCGCGUGCAGGAAGAAGGCCUUCGGGUUGUAAACUGCUUUUGUACGGAACGAAACGGCUCUGGUUAAUACCCGGGGCUAAUGACGGUACCGUAAGAAUAAGCACCGGCUAACUACGUG
rnacentral:rRNA from 1 species